rnacentral:rRNA from 1 species
AUUGAACGCUGGCGGCAGGCCUAACACAUGCAAGUCGAGCGGAUGAGAGGAGCUUGCUUCUUGAUUCAGCGGCGGACGGGUGAGUAAUGCCUAGGAAUCUGCCUGGUAGUGGGGGACAACGUUGCGAAAGGAACGCUAAUACCGCAUACGUCCUACGGGAGAAAGCAGGGGACCUUCGGGACUUGCGCUAUCAGAUGAGCCUAGGUCGGAUUAGCUAGUUGGUGAGGUAAUGGCUCACCAAGGCGACGAUCCGUAACUGGUCUGAGAGGAUGAUCAGUCACACUGGAACUGAGACACGGUCCAGACUCCUACGGGAGGCAGCAGUGGGGAAUAUUGGACAAUGGGCGAAAGCCUGAUCCAGCCAUGCCGCGUGUGUGAAGAAGGUCUUCGGAUUGUAAAGCACUUUAAGUUGGGAGGAAGGGUUGUACGUUAAUACCGUGCAAUUUUGACGUUACCGACAGAAUAAGCACCGGCUAACUCUGUGCCAGCCGCCGCAGUAAUAC